rnacentral:misc_RNA from 1 species
AACGCACCUUGCGCCCCUUGGUAUUCCGAGGGGCACACCCGUUUGAGUGUCGUGAGAUUCUCAACUCAAAUGCUUUUGCGAGCAUUUGGGCUUGGACUUGGGGGUCUGCCGGCCUGUCUCGGCUCCCCUUGAAUGCAUUAGCUCGGACCCUUGCGGAUCAGCUAUCGGUGUGAUAAUUGUCUACGCCGUGGUUUGUGAUGCCACCUUUCAGGUGUUGAGGGAUCGGCUUCUAAUCGUCCCCCCCGGGACAAUUAACUUUGAAAUCUGACCUCAAAUCGGGUGGGACUACCCGCUGAACUUAA